CGGAGUGUAGCUCAGCAUGGUAGAGCACUGUCUUCGGGAGGCAGGGGUCGUGAGUUCGAAUCUCGCCACUCCGACCA
rnacentral:tRNA from 1 species